rnacentral:rRNA from 1 species
UACGAAGGGGGCUAGCGUUGUUCGGAAUUACUGGGCGUAAAGCGCACGUAGGCGGAUUUGUAAGUCAGGGGUGAAAUCCCGGGGCUCAACCUCGGAACUGCCUUUGAUACUGCAAAUCUCGAGUCCGGAAGAGGUGAGUGGAAUUCCUAGUGUAGAGGUGAAAUUCGUAGAUAUUAGGAAGAACACCAGUGGCGAAGGCGGCUCACUGGUCCGGUACUGACGCUGAGGUGCGAAAGCGUGGGGAGCAAACGGG